rnacentral:lncRNA from 11 species
UGCUUCUGUGAGCCGUCCUGAGUUCCCUCAGAGAGAUGGUGGUGAGAUACCUAGGCCACCAUGUCCUUCCUGGUUUCCUCACCAGGUUGAGAAUUGAAGGUACUGUUUCAUACAGAAUUGCCCAGAAAGUGGUGCUUAUGAUUAACCAAAGUGCAUCAUUCAUUCAUGGUCCAAGUCUCCAGAAUGGUCAAUCACCUGUACAAGAUGCCUCUUGUGGCUUAUCAAAACUUUCUUAUAUGCCCAAGCAUGUCUAAAUUGACUUGGCUUGGUUUAUUAAUUAAUUUAUCUAAUGUUCUGGCUUUCUUUCAACAUGGGACCCAGAGGCCCCACUAAACAAUUACAUCUGAACAACGAGGCCAAUUAGGUUGUGCAGAGAAAGGUAUAAAACCACUGGACCUUAUCCAAGGGAAGGAAAAUGCUUCUGCCUCUGAAUAGACUGCUAGAUAAUCUUUUGUGGAUAAGUGUGGAGAGAAGAUGCUUGAGGGAGCCUGUAGGCCAUCAGGCCUCUCUAAAAGCAGAUGGAUUUAAAUAGGUCUAUGCUAGCUCUUCGUGUUCAUAGGGUAGACCUAAGCACUCUGCUGGUGUGAUUCCAAAGGCAGAUCGGUUGGUAUGGGAAUGUUAUAAUCAUUAUGCCAAAAAUGUAAUGAUAUUCUGCUAUUAUGUGACCUUUAAAGAGCAAUGUUGUUGGUGAUGGCAAUAUACAAAAAGAAAUGUGUUUCAGAUAACAUUGCUUUAAUGUUCUUCUUCCUGGCUCUGUAAUAUGAUGAUUUUAACAGGAAUUAUAUUCCUCUUGAGAAAAAAAGCUUUACUAUGC